rnacentral:rRNA from 1 species
GCAGUCGAGCGGACAGAAGGGAGCUUGCUCCCGGAUGUUAGCGGCGGACGGGUGAGUAACACGUGGGUAACCUGCCUGUAAGACUGGGAUAACUCCGGGAAACCGGAGCUAAUACCGGAUAGUUCCUUGAACCGCAUGGUUCAAGGAUGAAAGACGGUUUCGGCUGUCACUUACAGAUGGACCCGCGGCGCAUUAGCUAGUUGGUGAGGUAACGGCUCACCAAGGCGACGAUGCGUAGCCGACCUGAGAGGGUGAUCGGCCACACUGGGACUGAGACACGGCCCAGACUCCUACGGGAGGCAGCAGUAGGGAAUCUUCCGCAAUGGACGAAAGUCUGACGGAGCAACGCCGCGUGAGUGAUGAAGGUUUUCGGAUCGUAAAGCUCUGUUGUUAGGGAAGAACAAGUGCAAGAGUAACUGCUUGCACCUUGACGGUACCUAACCAGAAAGCCACGGCUAACUACGUGCCAGCAGCCGCGGUAAUACGUAGGUGGCAAGCGUUGUCCGGAAUUAUUGGGCGUAAAGGGCUCGCAGGCGGUUUCUUAAGUCUGAUGUGAAAGCCCCCGGCUCAACCGGGGAGGGUCAUUGGAAACUGGGAAACUUGAGUGCAGAAGAGGAGAGUGGAAUUCCACGUGUAGCGGUGAAAUGCGUAGAGAUGUGGAGGAACACCAGUGGCGAAGGCGACUCUCUGGUCUGUAACUGACGCUGAGGAGCGAAAGCGUGGGGAGCGAACAGGAUUAGAUACCCUGGUAGUCCACGCCGUAAACGAUGAGUGCUAAGUGUUA